UUUCCAUUCAAAGCGACAGGAUUCAGUAGUAUAUAUCUCACAAACUGCCAAAACAGAGUCAUUGGAUUUAGGUUUCUAAUAAUCAAACAACGGUAUAACAUGCCUGUACAUGUCAGAAACUGAAGCAAGCAAAUUUAUACACAACAACAUGUAUUUUGUGGAUAGCGAUAACCCACCCAAAUCUAAUUUAAUCAAAUAUUUAAAGAGGUAAUAAUUAAUUUUUAAAGAAUUGAAGUGAACCGUAACUAGGAAGAAAUGUUAUUGUUUAUUUUUAAUGCCAGAACAGUAUUCCUGAUGCAUUUUUAAUAUUUCAUUAAGGCAGUAACUUUCACACUAUAUUUUUUCAAGUUUUUAUAUCUCACUGAUACUUUUAUUUUUUUUUUCAGAACAAAUGUGAAAUUCUGUAGGUAAACUUAAAGCUCAAACUGAUACAUUCUUUGAGGACUUUUUGUCAUAACCAAUUAAACACAAACAGAAGUAUUUUUUAAACAAGGUAAGACACAACACCUGUCUUGGAGCUUGGCAAGUGCUGCUUCUUUUAGCCCGUGAAGCAUCAUUCCCAUCAGGUACCACUUUCUGUCCCCUCUUUCGAGCCACUAUUCAUCAUUCUUACUUUUAGGAGAGGUAUUUGCAAGAAAAGUUUGAAGGUCCACCACUCCCUGUGCUUUUCAGACCUAGGAACUUCUCUCUCUUGGCCUUUUGGUUUUUUCUGAUGAAGCGUCUCUCACAUUUUGAGCCUUUUCUACUCAAACCCAUGGAAGGCUGUUUAUUGCACUCUGGCUCCAGCCCUAGUUAAAGGUGUGAACUACCAAAGUGGAAGGGGGCACACGCACAUUAACACUGCUGUGGAAAACAUCGCUUGACAGAUGGAUGCAUGUUAAAUGGAUGUUUGGAGAAAGGUGUUUGCAAGAAAAAUCUUGAGUAUGGCAUCAUAGGAAGACCAUACAUAAUUUUCCAGCUCUAUUUCUCUAAUAUAUAAAGGUCAAGCUUGUUAUAGUAUCACCGCUUUUUAUUGUGAGACAUAGUUUUUGCAGUGCCUCUCAAUAUCUUUGAUAGGAAUAUGAAUUAGAAGGUUUCAAAUGCCAUACGUAAACACAUAUUAAUGCCUACAUACACAAGUUCAUACUUGAUAUUUCAUAGUGAUGUUUCAAAUAUUAAUAUUUGUGCAUUCAUUUUUUAAGUUUGACUGUUGCCAAGGGUCUACUCUGGAGAAUGAGGGUCCGAGGGUUUGGGGCUGGGGAGAUCUUAGAGCAGCCUAGAGAGGCUACAAGAAAGCUGGGGAGGAGAUCUUUAUCAGGGAGUGCAGGGAUAGGAUGAGGGGAAUGGGUUUAAGCUGAAAGAUGGGAGAUUUAGAUGAGCUAUUAGGAAGAGAUUUUUUCCUGUUCAGGUGGGGAGGCCCUGGCCCAGGGUGCCCAGAGCAGUCGGGGCUGCCCCAUCCCUGGAGGGGUUCCAGGCCAGGUUGGACGGGGCUUGGAGCCCCUGAGCCAGUGGGAGGUGUCCCUGCCCAUGGCAGGGGGAUUGAAACAAAAUGAUCUUUAAGGACCCUUCUAAUUGAAACCAUUCCAAGAUUCUAUGAAAUACUGGUAUAAAUUGUGAGUUCAUUCAUUAAGUAGAUAUCAAAAUGGUCCAAGGAUAAAUUGAGUUUUUGCGGUGUCAGUUACCAGUUCUUGAUCUUUGGGGAUAAAGGAGAUGCUCUUAACACCACCGAGUUACAGAAUAAGGAAUGUGAUGUGCAGAUUUUCUUGUUUGUUCAAGUCCUCCUCUGAACAGCUCUAAAAGCUGAGAUGUUUAAAUCCUGGUUAAGACUCUGUAUCCAGGCUCAGGUACAACCAAGUUCAAUGGAAAUAGUCAUACGGAAUUUCCUUGAUACUCUAUUGGUUAGAAAUACAGUUGCAAAAGCAUUUUUUUUCUCUUUAUGUUUUCUUUUCCAAAGGUGGUGGUGUAAAAAAACUUGGUACCUGUGGAUUUUUCUGUCCUAUUCCUAGACUUCUCCAAGCCCAGCGUAAAAGGAACCAAACUCAAUGUGUGGCAGGAAAAAGGAGCUUUAGGCAAGAAGAUGUCUGCUUAUCUAAUACUAAGUUUAUGGAGCCCUUAGCAGUUCCCUGAACAGAUAAUGGGACUAUGCAGGCAGAGCACGGCAUUGUCUAUAUUUUUGCUCUCUUCCCAAAAUACUUCUGGUUCAACCAUCCCCUGCCUACACGAAAAUUUUUGUACAGCCUGCCUCAGCUGAAUUGUUUUUUCUUUAUGUGUGGAUGUUCUGAUCUCGUAAUUGUUAUUUCCGUUUGUUUGUUCCUUUGCAUUUUCAAAUAUUUAGCCCAGGAAUCCUUCCACCUGAGAUUAUCAAGAAAAAAAAAAACCCACAUAAAUUACAACUACAUGCAGUUUACAACUUGUAGAUUCAAAUUUAUUUACAUAAAUUUGCAAAUAUGAAAGGAUAUGUGAGAAGACCUUGCAGGCAGACAACGCAACAGAAUUGUCAGUGAAUCUGUAUUUGCACAGAAAAGGACCUUCAGCUAGAUUGACAAUGGGAUUUCUCCAUGUAAAUGCAGCACCUAAGGUGAAAUCCACUGAUCAGCUGAAACUUUUCCUAAAGAUUCCGAACUCCUUGGUCAUCAGAAUUGCAUCACAGAUGUUUUUCAGAUUCCUGACACUGUUUUGCCAAUGAAGCCUACGAACACAGCUCAUCUGAAAGCUCUGGAUACUGCCAAAUCAGAGAAGGAAGCUGAAGACUACCAAUGUGGAACCCUUCCUCACCUCCUGGACUGGUAUCACUGACCCGGAUGUAUCCAGUUUCACAAGAUAAUUCCUUAAAAGGCCUGGUUUUCCCUGUCAAUUGUCUUGGAAGACGUCCUUCACGUCUGGAGAUGCCAUUAUGCACGAGGGCAGCUGCGAACUAAGCUGAGUAACACCCAUCCCCCUUUCUUUGGUGACUUUUUCCCACACUGCCAUUCUCUGCCUUUCUUUUCAAAAUGUUAAGUAAUUUACAGACUCAGUAUCUUGAGAUUCUUCCACCUUUGCUGCACAUACCAAAGAGAAUCUUGUGUAAGUUCUCACUUUAUUACCACACCUGUUAGAAACCACUGCUACAACCUGGGCGCGAAAAAAUGUGGCUGCACUAUACCUAGUAAGAAAUACUUACUGGCUUCAAUGUAAGCGCAUCACCACUGCUAUAAAACAGACACAACUACUUUGGUGACAUUCACUGUUACUCUACGUUGACAAGUUCCCAUUUAAUUUACUACAUAUGGUUCCACGUCUCCAUAGCUACUCUCGUGAAUUCAUUAUUCAUUAAAUAAGUGAUGAAUUUACUCAAAUAUUGCAGCCACAUGGCCGACACAAAUGCAUUCUAAUAUUAUUAACACGUUGCCAACUUGCAACUCUUCGAAGUCUGAGUAAAUGUUUUGACAAGAAGAGGCAGCAAGAACAAAUAAGUAGCAGCAGCCUAGAUGAAGUUCAGCCAUAGUUCUAACAGCUUUAAAGUCUUAACAGUGUUUUCACUGGGGCAGUACCAGAUAAAUUGCUCUUAUGUGUGCAUACAAGAGACUAAAAUUCCUUUGAAAGUUUAUAAUUUCUCAUGGGAAAACACAACACAAAAGUUACUUUUACUCAUAGAAAAACAACACCAUAUUUUCCUGUCAACCUUUGCUGUUGGGAAUUUCAAACUUUUUGCAUUUUUUCCCUGUGAUUCUUUGUCGACUCAAGGGACAGGCGUUUACAACAUAAUUUACUUUCAGCGUGUCUCUGUAAAUCAUUGUAAUACUUUCUAUGGCUAGUGAAAAAAAAAAAAGCAGCACUCUCAAGUUGAACCGACAAACCACUUUUCCAAGACUUCACAGCAAUGCAACCCCCCCUCCCCUUUCAGGAGAGCAUGGAGAGAUACACAGAAGAAAUAUAUUUUGUAAGGGCUUUAUAUGAAUAUUUGUAUUUAGAGGUUGUAAUAUCUAUUGUGAAAUAUUUAUUGAACUAUAUUUGCUUGCAGUAAAACAUACAGAGUGUGUGGAGCAUAAAACAUGUCGAGGUGGUGGGCACGAAGGGAAAAACACUGGCAUUUCAUUUUUACUGGAGAAAGUAUGCUCUUUCUUACUGUUUUUAAGGCCUGUUGUUGUCACUGUUGUUGUACAGACCUAACAUAUUGUCUCGGAUUAAAUACUUUAAGCACACCCUCCCAUAAAAAAGCUGGAGACCUGUAGAGCCUUUCAGCCUCACUUUUUGAGACUGCUGCUAAUAUCAAGGCUCAUUCAGUUUUACAUUAGAACUUGAUGACUUGCACAUUGGUUGAACCUUCACCUUUUACAACCUUAAUGGGGAUUUAUUAGCUAUUUCACAGUGUGUAAAUUUGAAUCUAGGUCAGAUGAGGAAGAAAAAUAGGGCAAAUCUGGGCCUUAAGUAUAACCUGCAUAUAAUAUAUCAGGAUAAAAAAAAAGGUGCAAAAUUAAACAGAUGAUUAAAAGUGUCUAGAGCAGUCAGAGUCUGAAAAAAGAGCUUGAUAAAUUAGGGGUGUAUGUAAGGGUUUUUUUGAGUUCAAACUCAGGUGACUGGUGAAAGUCUGGUUUCCACACAAAUUCAGCAGAUUAAGGAGUUAAAAUAGCUUGUUAACCUGUUUCUGCUAACUGAUCGCAAGAGGAAAUGUAACACAGGUGUGUUUGAUAUUCACAAGAUUAAAGCUUUUGUCUACCAUCAAAUGGUCACCACAUUAAAGCCGUUUUAAUGAGGUAUUGGAAGAUAAUGAAUGUAAGUCUCUUAAUUCACUGCAGAAGAGACAGCUUGACCCUGCUUUGACCCUGCUGCAGCCAGGUAUCUAAACCAACAUAUUAAUCACACUUAGACCAAAAGAUGUGCACGUAAUGAAAUAGCCACUACCUGCUGCCAUUCUCAUCUGCUAAAUAUCUAUCUGGUUCAGGUGUCUGAGCUCUUUUGCUCAGUACCCUGCAAGUCUGGUGUCAGGUAUUCCCCACUUGAUGGUACCCAUCCCUUACCAACUAUUUCAGGAAGACUAUCUGGAGGGGAAAAAAACACAGCUGCCAUGAGAAAGAAGGAUUUUUACAGUGUGUGAGCAUGGGGAAUGGGUAGGUGGAAAAUGGGUACAAAUUAAAGUUAUUGCUCCCUUAUCAUUCAUCCUGAUACUUAGUGAUGGUCAGAAAGUCAAUAGCUGGAGUGAAUAAAGGUUGAAAAGGUCUUGCUGGUUCAUCUAGUUUUGUACUUACUGUUCGAUGGAUCCACCCUCCUGCUAAGAUAAGGUACGCUGCCUGUUUAGUUAUUCUUAAUAGAAUAAGCUCCAAAUAAAAAUAAAAUAAAGAUCCUGAAAGGUUCUCCAAACCAGAUUUAUUUUGGCAUGCAUAUGCAGGAAACUAUGUACUGUAGCAAGUUUUAAAUACUGUAUUUGGACACUAAUUCUCAACUGCCGUCAUCAGUUUGCUGACAGCCAUCUGCUUGGACCCUGCUCCUUCCUCCCGUUCAGCACCAUUAAAGUAAAAUAUUGACAGAAACAACUUCUGCAGCAAAAGUGGAAAAGUUAAUAACAUAACUGAAGUCACACAGGAUUUUUUUCUAAUGUUCUGGAGCUCUCAUACAAUUUUGUUUUACUCAUGCUUUAAUUUAGAAGUGUCCCACCCGGCUUAAAAAUAGGAGGUUGUGUUACCAGCUAUCUUUAGAUGACACAGGUUACUGAGGAGGAAUCUAUAGUUCAUGUGCCUUAAUACUACUGAGCAACAGACACGCUCCUGGAGAAGCUGACACACCAGGAGAUGUGUUGUCAGUUAAAGCUGGGAAAAGAAGUCAUCACGAUAAGGUUGUCACUAUGGUGGCCCAAAGCUGCAAUGGCACACGCAGCAGAUUGAUACAAUUCAAAUGUACCUGCAGACACAUUUUUAAUAGUGAUUUAGAGGUCCAUGCAACCCCUUACAUCGUGCUCAUGGCAUACUGGUAACUCAGUGCUCUUGGGGUGCCUUGGCACUUCCAGAAAGACCCUGAGCCUCCUUGGACUGAGAUUCUUUUUUGUUCAUAGAAUCGCAGAAUGUCCUGAGUUGGAAGGGACACACAAGGAUCAUUCAGUCCAACUCCUGUCUCUGCAUAGGACAACCCCAACAUUCACAUCACGACACAGUACAUGGCUUGUGAUGUUCCCCACCUCAAUGAGUUUGAGCUGCUCCAGUUCAGCACAGGGCAAGCUCUACCUUAAGUUCUUUCCAUGAAACGUCACUAAAGCUCUCGCACAGGUCAUGGGCAACAAAAAACUUUGCCACCAAUUAUUUCAAAAAUAAGCGAACAUGCGCUCAUAUACACACUCACACAUCCAGAUAUACAUUCAUAAUAAAUAAUUUAUUCUUCAUACCUAUUUAUAAUACAUGAAUCUUGUAUAUUUUAUGGUGAUAGAACUGCUGUUUUCAGAUUUACAUGUCUUAUUAAAUUCCCCACACAACAAAACACAAUACUAUAGAAAUAUAUAGCCCUAGCAACUGAUUCAAGACUUCUAAUCCAAGUGGUCUUACUGUCUGCAAUAUUCUUUUCUAAAUUGUGCCAUUACAUCCCACAAAUUGACUUGCAAUGAAAGGUAAUUUUUAUUUUUGUUAUUCUGUUAGAGCUUUGUGGGAGAGAGGAAGAAAGAAUUCAUCCCAUAAAGAACAACACAACGGUUUUCAAGCUGAACUCUCUAACAUAGACAACGGUGUCUCCUGCUCUGCAGAUACGUGUACAUCAAAAUUGAAGUCAGCCCUAUGAGAAGAUGGGAAUGUUUAUGAUCUUGAAGAGAUCAGCAGUAGACUUAGUGGAGAAAGUAAAACCUUUGGGGAAAUGAAAAAAUUCUAAGUCCAGUUUCAAGCAGCAAAUUUGACCAGCGAUGCAGAAAGUGUAGCAGACAUUAAAACUGUUUGCGUGUGGCAACAAUGCCUCAUUGUCAAACCCAACACUUCAAAGUAGGACCACUGCAUUUUUUUGAGAAAUGUUUUCAAUAUUUGACUUGGUUUUUUUCCUCUUCAUAGGACAAAAAUAAAUAAAGCAGUUCCAUUUUCCUCAGACAGAGCACUGACUCCCAGUUCCUGCCUGUUGCAGGGUCCUGCAGGUCAGUGUGUGGGUAGAGAGGUGAGCGUUGAGCAUCCUCCACACUGCACAGAGUGGUGAGUGGCUUCCCCUCUGCUUCUGCUCACUUUCGCCUUCUCUAUUCACAUUGCUUUCUCCUUCACUUUGGGCUAAUUUUCCCUAACCUUGUUUAAAAUCCUCUGUCAGAGUCCUCCAAGCGUUCAGCAACUCCAAUUCUCUUUAAAGACCCUGUAGCUCUGUUUGUCCCCACGCCUGAGGUGCUCAACCACACAGCUAAUGUCCCCACACCGCACUACCGUAAGCACAAAAGCAAUGAUUUUCAUCCUUAAGUAGUUCUCAGACUGGAAGUGUUCACUUAGAUUCAAAGAGUUCACUCAAAAAGUUAUUUUAAACAACAUGCCACAUAUGUGGUGAGAAUGGCUAAACAGUCUUAUCAGCUUACCUUGCAGGUUCUUUUUUUGUGCUCUGUAGCUCAAAGUGCUGAGGCAUCCUCAGAAAGCCACAGGCACAAACCUCGUAAAGAGAUUAAAGAUCUGAUUGGGAGAGGCAGGAGGAAGCACUUCUAUACAUUUCCUUGUACGUGUUCUUCCGAAGGUAGAGCCAGCAGGAUCUCCUGCACAGGCCCAUGAGCCGCCAGAAGAAACUUUAGAACGUUUCUGGGUAUUUUCCCCAAGCAAAAGCAACAACAAACUUAAAGCAUGGAAAAAUACUUAAAGCAACAAAAUCAAGUAUGACAGAAAAACUAUGCAAAUGCGUUGCUCUUGCUUCAUAGCCAUUUUUUUCUACUCUUCAUCUUUGGAAGAGAAGUACAAAAGACUCGACAGAGAUUUGCUACCUCUUUGCACAUUGUUGAAAGGCUUGUAAUCUUUUCUCAAGGAUUUCUUAAUUAAAAUCCAUCUUAAAUGUUGUGGCAUUUGGUUGGACUCAAUGAUCCUGGAGGUCUUUUCCAACCUAGCAAUGCUGCGAUUUAUCUCCACACGUUAAAGAUACUUUCUUCUCUAGCUGCCGUUCUCACUAGCUUUGUUUGUUUUGGUGCUGCACAGCUCCAUGAGACUACGGAGCCAGAAAGCAAUUUUUUUCAAAGUCCAGAUAUUUAUAGAAUCAUAGAAUGGUUUGGGUUGGAAGAGACCUUAAAGAUCAUUUUGUUUCAACUCCCCUGCCAUGGGCAGGGACACUUCCCCCUGGAUCAGGUUGAUAAAAGCCUCGUCCAACCUGGCCUUGAACACCUCCAGGGAUGGGGCAGCCACCACUGCUCUGGACAACUAUUGCCAGUGCCUCGCCACCCUCACAGAGAAGAAUUUCUUCCUUAUCUCUCAUCUUAUCUACCUUCUUUCAGUUUAAAGUCAUUACCACUUGUCCUAUCAUUACAUACCCUUGUAAAAAGAAAUGUGAAACCAGGAUCAAAAAAAUCACAAGAGUGAUAAAUACCAUACCAAAAAUGAUUUUGCUUUUGUGACAUAUCUAAUGCAAAUGCUGAACUAUAAGCUUCCCUAGUAUCUGACAUAAGAGAUGCCUUUAUUAAAGUGCUUAUAGGACACAGAUAAGCUUUAAGAAUGUGGUUAGAACCCUGAUUAAGACAUGUAACAAAAAAACCCGAAGAGAUUAAAUAUCAUAAAUUUUGGACAUUAAAAGAAGAAAAAUCUGUUGAACGUCUCCUACACAACUCCAGCCAUGGAAAACUUUGCUGCCUGUUGUGAUGUGGUGGUGUCAGAGAGAUUUGACACUUUUCCAUCAUUAAAAGCUGGUCAUCAGGGGUGCAGAGCAUGGAUCUCUGUGCGCUCCCACCAGCACAACACGUUGCUGGCAUGAUGUCCUUCAGAGCCUCUCCUAUGCGGCAAAAGGCAUUUGUCAAUAUCUGAUUGUAACCACCAUCUGCCAAGGAAAUUCCUUGCUGUAAAGCUCUCGUUAGAAGUCCAAUCAAAAAGAUGUAAAAAAAGAGUAAAAUUGGUAAAGGUCUUCUCUAUAUAUACAUCUCACUGAAUAGUAAUGUCGUAAUACAAACUGUUUCUUGGUUUGGCACCUUCAACGCCAGCAGAGUCUUCAAAGCUGACAACCAACGUCACUGGAGACUCUACAAGAUUUCUACUGGUACAGUCUGACAAAAGAGAACAACUGUUUUCCCAACGGAGCAAAUUCUUUUCCCUGACUAGCAUAAGAUAUCAAUGCUUACGCCACUCCGCAAAGCUGUAUCUAAUUCUAAGGUCACACCUUUCUUUAAUGGCUUUCCUAAAAGUUUAUUGCAAGUUUCCUUAGCGACACAAGCAGGGUUUCAUUGAUCUCCAGGCAGGGCUGUCAUUAUAAGAGGAUGGGGUUCCAAUUCCUGAUUAAUGAAAAUUAUAAUUAUGUACUGAUAACAGAGAGAGAGAGAGAUGUUUCCCUGUUACUUUAAACAAAGAAGAGUUAAGGCCUUAUCUUAACUAUGCGUUGGCACUGCAAUGCGAAAUGGUCAUGCAAAAUUAAUUUUUAAUGUGUUCAAUUUAUAUUAAAAAUUUCUGCAAGUGUGUGAAUUUUUUUUCUGAGGCUGGAGUGCUACUUCAUUUACAAUAUUCCCUGAAGGUGUUUUUUUUUUUAAAGAGACUCUUAAACUGAAGCCAUUUUAAGGGUUUUAUGAGACAUUAUGUGAGCUUUCAUAUGCAAGUUAGUCGUUAAGUACCAGAUAUUAUAUUCUGUAAUAUGCUUAAGUGAUAUUAGAGGCUGUAUAUAGCCUGCAGUAAUGGCUAUUGCUGCUUUUUUAAUUUAUCAAGAAAAUGUUGCUUAAAUAAGGAGCAAAUCAGUGCUUGGGUGUAGAAAAUAUAAAUGUAAAGGAAGUAACAAUAUUGUUGUGACAUACUUUGUACUCUCCCCUUCACUGGGUAGCAAAAGCAGGGUCUACUUUCUUCUACUCCUACUGACUCGCAUGGCAAUUCCCCUAUACAUGGUGCUGGACACGUGUAAAAAUUCCACUGAGUCUCAUUGAACAGUGUAAAAUCAUUGCUUCUCAAGACUAAAUAAGAAUUCCCCUUUGUAAGUAGGCUUUCUUUGUACAAUUCUCGGUGUUCAGAAAAAGUAGCAUCUCAUAUUUGGAUUUAAAUGAGUGGGGUCUUUGAAUGUUCAACCCAUAAAGGGAAAUGUUUUUGUUAAGCUGGAUUCGCUGGUCAAGAUAUAAAAGCUAGGAUUGGAAGAAAACAACAAACAAACCAACACUUACAUAGUGAAAAGACUCGCAACUUUUUUCUUCCCCCCCACCUCCAAGAGUCAAAGGAAAUGAAAGAGAAGAAACCUUUAAUCUGACAGGCUUGUAGAAAUACAAAAGUCACUGGACUUUCCUUUCACACGUCUCUUGCUCCACAUCUUGACACAGAAAUGAAGUACUUCUGUGGUUGUGCUGCAGAGAUGUGGGACACAGGCGUGUUUCACACUGACAGCCCUGAGCAAUGACACCUUAUUUUGGCGACCGAGUCCCCCACCUGCCCCGACCUCUGCUUUAGCUCCAGCUGACAUUAGAGCUCAUUCUGGUUUAAAACGUUCCUUCUCUAACUACGGACCACUCUGCCCAGCUGCAAACUCCCAUUUCCAUGCAGAGCUAUGAUUGAAGAAAUGUAUUUCACAUGACAAAUAAUC